rnacentral:rRNA from 1 species
UACGUAGGUGACAAGCGUUGUCCGGAUUUACUGGGCGUAAAGAGCGCGCAGGCGGUCGUGCAAGUCGCGUGUGAAAGCCCCCGGCUCAACUGGGGAGGGUCACGCGAUACUGCUCGACUUGAAGGCAGGAGAGGGAAGUGGAAUUCCCGGUGUAGUGGUGAAAUGCGUAGAUAUCGGGAGGAACACCAGUGGCGAAGGCGACCUCCUGGCCUGUUCUUGACGCUGAGGCGCGAAAGCUAGGGUAGCAAACGGG